AAAAAGAAAAGAAAAGAAAAGAAAAGGAGAAAAAGAAUUUUAAUCCAGAAAUAUAGAGAGUAAGAAAGGGUGAAGGUCCCUUUUGUUCCACUCCGGUCCUAGUUCCUCAUACAUACGUGCGUGUGGGUGUGUAGGUGAGAUUCUGUGAGAUCUGUUGCUCUGGCUCUGGCUCUGGCUCUGGCUCUGGCUCCCCUGGAUGCACACCGAAGCCUAGAGGUCUUCUGUCGUCAGCGCCCGUGGCCCUACCUCCACCUCAGGGCAGGAAGGCUGCCCAUGACAAAGGAGUCCAUUUCUCGCGGUUGACCCGAUCUCCUGGCAGCACCACAGGCUUGGCCGCCCUCCUGGAGAGUGAGAGAAUGUUCGGGAACAAUUGCCCAGUAAAAAGACCCAGAAGAAAUCCGCCUAAAGGAGAGACAAACAGAGCUGUGAAUCUGUCUCAGCAGCAGAAUAAAAGACUAGGAGCCUGGCCUGAGCAUGUUGCCAAAAUCUAAACUAAUAAAAGACUAAUUUCAGGUAAAGAAAACCUUUGCCUGCCAGAGAGACCUCCACAACUCUCUUACCAGAAAAGUAGAUUAUUUACAUUUGCAGAUGCUACUGUGUUCAUUGCCCACAAAAAGCAUGUAUGAGGAUAAGCUUGUGACAAAUGCUCAUCCACCAUCUGAUUUAUUUUAGGGUUCCAAAGUCCUUUACUUUUCCCUUCUGCUCUUCUCCAUUAACACACACACACACACACACACACACACACACACACACACACACAGUAUAUAUAUAUAUAUAUAUAUAUAUAUAUAUAUAUAUAUAUAUAUAAUAUGCCUUUCCAUGUGAAGUUUCUCAAAUUCUUUUUUUUUUUUUUCAAGUUUUUACUUAGAUUCCAGUUAGUCAACAUACAGUAUGAUACUAGUUUCAGGUGCAAAAUCUAGUGACUCAUCACUUUCUCACAUAACACCCAGUGCUCAUCACAAUUGCCCUCCUUACACUGGGUAUUAUACUAACUGUUGGCAAAUUGAAUUUAAAUAAAAUUAUUUUUAAUUAAAUUAAGUUAAAAAAAAAACAAGUACCCUCAUUAAUACCCGUCACCCAUUUAAGCCAUCCUCCCACCUCCUCACCUCCAUCAAUCCUCAGUUUGUUCUCUAUGGUAAAGACUAUGUUUUACGGUUUGCAUCUCUUCACCACCGACCCCAUCCCCCCAGCCAUAUUCAUCUGUUUCGUUUCUUAAAUUCCACAUAUGAAAAAAAUUCCACAUAUGAGUGAAAUCAUAUGGCAUGUCUUUCUCUGGCUGACUUAUUUCACUUAGCCUAUUACUCUCUAGCACCAUCCACAUUGUUGCAAAUGGCAAGAUGUCAUUAUUUCCCAAAUUCUUAUGUAUCAAAAAGGAAGUGAAUUUAUUUCAGUCCUGUACAUUACUGAAUAAGUAUUCCAUGUAAUGUUCUGCAAAAGAUCCACAUUCAUUCAUUUAUUACCUUUUGCCAUUUGGGAAUGAGAACUUAGUCCCAUCAGUGUCUUUGAUCAGUGCUAGAUAAAAGCAUCUGCAUCAACUGGGGGCCCUUGGUCACACGUCCUUCUGAUAGGUGUGAGCAGAGUAAAAAAAAAACGUAGACCCAAGUUACAAGUUAGUUACAAAAUGAGAAAUUCUUUCUGCACAGCAAUUGCUUCUGAAAUACAGGAAGGAAGACACCUGAAGCUACUAUUACACUGUAUGUUAACUAACUGGAAUUUAAAUUAAAACUUUAGAAAAAUAACAUACAGGAAGAGAUCGGCUCCCACUUCUGUCCUGCACGUUGAAUCAUCAACUUUGCACUGUCCAAAGAAGCAUGACUCUGCAUUUUAUCUUUUGGUUCAACUAUUAGAAUGCUGUUUAUGCUUACCUGGAAAUUGUCUUUACAAGGAACAAUAUUUCCACCUGCAUCCCUACUUCUCAGAGAGCUUCCUGGAGGCUCAUAGUCAGUGGGUUCAUCUCAAUGAUGACAAAGUAAAUCAACCUCCUCUGAAAACCACAAUUUACAAGUUUAGGUGAACAAGUGUCGAUUUCUAUAGUAAACAUCCCAUAAAAAACAUAUUCAACCUCAAGGUUCAAAUCAACAAUUCUUAGAAUUAUUUUUUUAAUGAUAGCAUUACAAGAAAACUCUUUGCCUUUUAGCAAAGACUGACUCAACCUUUUGAGAAUGAGAAUAAAUAGGAGUCCAGAUUUAACAAAGUUCCCUAUCCUUUUCCCUUGGAUCUAAACAAAAGCUCUAUCAAAGAAGUAGUGUCUGUACCUCUUCAAGAUUUCGAUUUCUUUUUAAUUGAGGUGGUGGUUUUUUUUUUUUUUAAGUUUUUGUUUCUAUGGUAUCUAUCACAUACAGGUAGAGCCUACAAAAUGUGGCAUGUGAUGGUAGCUUUAACACAGGAUAGAAAAGAUAUUAGGGAUAUUGGAAAGUUAUCUCCGUGAUGUGAGGUGAAAAUGUAAGCAAGGAUAUCAUCAUGUUGUUCACCUGUCACUUCGAAGGCUGGCAGCUCCUCGAACUAUGAGUUGAGCAUACAGGGGAGAAGUGUGGCCUGAAGGUAGAGAUUUGAUGGUCCUCUGCACAUAGAUGAUGGAUGAAACCUGGGAGUUAGUGCAGUGGCCCAGACAAGGAAGGAAUGGUGGGCAGAGAGAGCCCCUGAGGACAGAUUUCCAAGGGUCACCACUAGGCAGAGGUGAGCCGAGGAGGAGUCAACCCUGAGAGUGAGGAGGAACAGAAGGGAGAAAGCAGAGGAAGCCAAGGGAAGUGUAAGGGAAGAGGGGGUGGUUUCACUCUGAAGUGCUGCGAAGCUGCCAGACAAGGCAUCAGUUUUAGUAAGGAGGAGAUCCUUUGAGGGUUUGGAGGAAAUCGUGUCAGGAAGGAGAAGAGGGGGAAAGCCAGACUCAGGGGUGACUGAGUGACAGGUGAGGUGAAAACAGUCAACAGGGAGGCCCCUCUCCAGGAGCUCAGCCAACGGAAGGAAUAUGCUAGGGCAGCCAAUGAUAGGAAGAGUUUGAACAAUGGAAGGGUCGGUUUGGAGUAAUGUUUAUCAUUAUUUGGGGUUGUUUUUAAUUUGGAGGAGACAGGAGCCUGAUUUUAAACUGAGGAAAGGUCAAAGAGACAGGGGGAAGAGAAUGAAAGUAUAGGAGCUUCCACAAAAAACAUAUUAAGGGAUAAUGGAUGGACCUGGGUCCCCGCGGAAGUAGAAGGGGUGGCGUGGGCCACAAGAAGUGGAUCAUAGUUAGCCUUGGACAGGAGGCCCUCUGAAAAUCAGGGAGGCCAGGGGAAGAAGUACAUGAGUGUUCUAGAAGACAUGAUGAAAGCUUAGAUUCUCUGUGUGGUCCCUGCAGUACUUGCCAUACAUCUAAGUUUAUCUUCUAUUUCUGGAAAAAGACUGACAAUAAUAAACCAUAACUGAUAAUCGUUCUCAAGGUAAGCCACGCAAAACUGAAAUACACCUUUCCUAUAAAGGAUAUUCCCUGUAAGGCAGUAAAAAAAAAAAAAAAGACCCUAAUGCUUACAAUAUUCCCAUAGGGUAAAUCUUUGUAUCCAGAGACAUAUGCCAGCUCCCUGUUUAGUUUUGCUAUAAAAUAUCUGAAUGGGACCUGCCCGGUGAACCUAAUUCAAAUAAAAAAUUUGAUAUUCCCCCUCAGAGAGGUCAUGAACAAGGUCAUGCAACAAUCAAUCCUGAGCAAGUAGAGUCCUCCCGUUGGCUCCACUCAUCCCACCUCCAGUGUGAGAGGCCAAGGGCCUGCUAGGCCAUCAGCCAACAUCAGAGAAAAAGGAAGAAAGCUCACUCAUAGGGCCCCAACCAAAGUGAAAACACCUACACAUGAGGAAUAGCGUUUGGUGCAAAGAAUAAAAAUGAAAGGGCGUGCAUGUUCCUUUGGAUGGUCUCUAUCCAGGUCUCUCCGUGACCUGAAAUUUCUGAUCUGAAAUUGCUUACUUAAAGGGAACAGAAACGAGGCCUGGCCCUUUGAAGGAAGGUGCCUUGGUUGUGGUGAGCACUAAGACGUUGGCGAAUGUGGCAAAGGCUGUGUCUGUGCGGGCUGUGAUUUUUAUUUUCUCUUUAUAUCAGUGAAUGAUAAAAGUAAUGCCCACAUAGUAACAAAAUUCAAAUUACAGGCGUGAAUAAAGCAGAGGUUGACCACCUCUUGACACCGAUCACCCUGCCCAAACUGGAGCAUAAAGAGUUUAUCACUUUACCUUUCUAAAUUGGUCUGUAUGUGCAUUUCCAAGCAAGCAUCCCCUCGCCCCCCAACUAAUUACCAUUCUGCAACUUGAUUUCUUCACUUUAUUGUGUAUCGUGGGUAUCUUUCCAUGUCAGCGUGCUUGGUUUUUUCCUCCUACUUUGUGACAGCUAUAGAAAAUUGCCCUUCACUACAGCACAAUUUAUUUGGUCAUUUUGCCAAAAGAGAAACAUUCACAUCAAAACCACAGUAAACAUCUCUGUACACACGUCUUGGCGCUCUUGUUUUUUCUUAAAUACUUAGAAGUGAAGGCAAAUCAUUGGGUCAGAGGGCGUGUGCAUUUUCAGUUUUGAUACUAAUUUCCAGUACGCCUUUAAAAAAAAAAAAAAGUCAUACUACUUUAUCCUCCUACCAAAGUUUUUUAAGAUGUUCUUUUCCCUUAUGCCGUAGGCAAUAUCGAGUGUUAAUAGUCCUGAAGUAGGUCCUCACUUAUCGAUGAAGGAACUCACUUGGAACAGAAAUGCAGAGACAUCAAGGGAGCUUACCGUUCUAGAAAAACAGG
rnacentral:lncRNA from 1 species